rnacentral:rRNA from 1 species
GACGAACGCUGGCGGCGUGCUUAACACAUGCAAGUCGAACGGUAAGGCCCUUCGGGUACGACGAGUGGCGAACGGGUGAGUAACACGUGGUGAUCUGCCCUGCACUUCGGGAUAAGCCUGGGAAACUGGGUCUAAUACCGGAUAGGACCAUGGACUUCACGGUUUGUGGUGGAAAGCUUUUGCGGUGUGGGAUGGGCCCGCGGCCUAUCAGCUUGUUGGUGGGGUAAUGGCCUACCAAGGCGACGACGGGUAGCCGGCCUGAGAGGGUGUCCGGCCACACUGGGACUGAGAUACGGCCCAGACUCCUACGGGAGGCAGCAGUGGGGAAUAUUGCACAAUGGGCGCAAGCCUGAUGCAGCGACGCCGCGUGA